rnacentral:lncRNA from 1 species
CCAUACAUACCAAAUGCCUUCGCAGUUUGCUUGCAGUACCAAUAAGCUAGCAUGCCCCAUGACCUACAUAGCCUAAGCCAAGUGCUCCUUAGAGUAAGACAAAAGACAUUGCCCAUUAUGUUAGCCAAAAGGUAAUAAAUAAAUAAAUAAAAACUUUUGAUAUUGUUUUGGGUAAGAGUCUAGAGAACAAAUAAAAUUGUUUCUUUCUGUUUACGACACAUACAAUACAAGCAUUUGCCGUCCAUCCAUUGGUGAUUGAUUGAUUGUUGGUUGGCUGGCCACUCCAAUGACUUCCUCG